AACCCAUGAUGAGGGCACCUUCUCAAAGGAUCUUUAACUCUUCCACAUGCAUCAUACAAUGUAUCCAUAUCAAAUUGAACAAAAGAAGAGAUUUCGUCUCUCAACUU
rfam:Gossypium arboreum cultivar AKA8401 contig_32545_1, whole genome shotgun sequence.